rnacentral:rRNA from 1 species
UACGUAGGGUGCAAGCGUUGUUCGGAAUUACUGGGCGUAAAGGGCUCGUAGGCGGCCAACUAAGUCGGAUGUGAAAUCCCCAGGCUUAACCUGGGAACUGCAUCCGAUACUGGAUGGCUUGAAUCCGGGAGAGGGAUGCAGAAUUCCAGGUGUAGCGGUGAAAUGCGUAGAUAUCUGGAGGAAUACCGGUGGCGAAGGCGGCAUCCUGGACCGGCAUUGACGCUGAGUGAGCGAAAGCUAGGGGAGCAAACGGG